AUAUUUUAAAAGUUCAUUGGAAAUUUCAAAGAUAGCAACGAGGUGCAAUGGUCCUCCGCUGAGCGACUUUGUUGAGAGUCAAUUUCUUUAGGAGCAGAAAAGGCCUAAAGGUGAGGACAGGAAUGCUCCAAGGGAAGAUGCAUGUAAGGUCACAAAUCAUAACUCUCAUGUAGCGGAUCAGCCAACCACUGGAUGUGUUCCAUGAUUUAUUUAUUUCAGUGGUUUACAAAGUGGCUUGAUGUGAACUAUGGUGCCGACAGGAUAUGAAUGGCCGGACAAUGCGGCAUUUUUCUUUUGCACCAAAGAAUCUCAGACCAUCAUGCUGUUCUU